rnacentral:rRNA from 1 species
UACGGAGGGGGCUAGCGUUGUUCGGAAUGACUGGGCGUAAAGGGCGCGUAGGCGGCGAUUCAAGUCAGAUGUGAAAGGCCUGGGCUCAACCCGGGAACUGCAUUUGAUACUGGAUUGCCUGAGUCCGGGAGAGGAUGGCGGAAUUCCCAGUGUAGAGGUGAAAUUCGUAGAUAUUGGGAAGAACACCGGUGGCGAAGGCGGCCAUCUGGACCGGUACUGACGCUGAGGCGCGAAAGCGUGGGGAGCAAACAGG